AGAGUUUGAUCCUGGCUCAGGAUGAACGCUGGCGGCGUGCCUAACACAUGCAAGUCGAACGAAGCACUUUGAGCAAAGCCCUUCGGGGCGGAGAAUAAAGUGACUUAGUGGCGGAUGGGUGAGUAACGCGUGGGUAACCUGCCUUACACAGUGGGAUAACAACUGGAAACAGUUGCUAAAACCGCAUAAGCGCACAGGUACACAAGUACCAGAGUGAAAAAAGGAAACAUUAAUGUUUCUAUUGGUGUAAGAUGGGCCCGCGUCUGAUUAGCUAGUUGGUAAGGUAACGGCUUACCAAGGCGAUGAUCAGUAGCCGGCUUGAGAGAGUGACCGGCCACAUUGGGACUGAGACACGGCCCAAACUCCUACGGGAGGCAGCAGUGGGGAAUCUUGCACAAUGGGCGCAAGCCUGAUGCAGCGACGCCGCGUGAGUGAAGAAGUACUUCGGUAUGUAAAGCUCUAUCAGCAGGGACGAUAAUGACGGUACCUGACUAAGAAGCCCCGGCUAACUACGUGCCAGCAGCCACGGUAAUACGUAGGGGGCAAGCGUUAUCCGGAUUUACUGUGUGUAAAGGGAGCGUAGGUGGCAAAGUAAGUCAGAUGUGAAAGCCCGUGGCUUAACUGCGGGAUUGCAUCAGAAACUGCUUUGCUAGAGUGCAGGAGAGGUAAGUGGAAUUCCUAGUGUAGCGGUGAAAUGCGUAGAUAUUAGGAGGAACAUCAGUGGCGAAGGCGGCUUACUGGACUGUAACUGACACUGAGGCUCGAAAGCGUGGGGGAGCAAACAGGAUUAGAUACCCUGGUAGUCCACGCUGUAAACGAUGAAUACUAGGUGUCGGGGCCCAAAGGGCUUCGGUGCCGGCGCAAACGCAUUAAGUAUUCCACCUGGGGAGUACGUACGCAAGUAUGAAACUCAAAGGAAUUGACGGGGACCCGCACAAGCGGUGGAGCAUGUGGUUUAAUUCGAAGCAACGCGAAGAACCUUACCAGGUCUUGACAUCUGGGUGACAGGUCAGUAAAAUGACCCUCCCUUCGGGGCACCCAAGACAGGUGGUGCAUGGUUGUCGUCAGCUCGUGUCGUGAGAUGUUAGGUUAAGUCCUGCAACGAGCGCAACCCCUAUCUUUAGUAGCCAUCAGUCAGGCUGGGCACUCUAAAGAGACUGCCAGGGAUAACCUGGAGGAAGGCGGGGAUGACGUCAAAUCAUCAUGCCCCUUAUGAUCUGGGCUACACACGUGCUACAAUGGUGACUACAAAGGGAAGCGAAGUCGUGAGGCGAAGCAAAUCCCAUAAAGGUCAUCUCAGUUCGGAUUGUAGUCUGCAACUCGACUACAUGAAGCUGGAAUCGCUAGUAAUCGUGGAUCAGAAUGCCACGGUGAAUACGUUCCCGGGUCUUGUACACACCGCCCGUCACACCAUGGAAGCCUAAAAUGCCCGAAGUCAGUGACCCAACCGUAAGGAGGGAGCUGCCGAAGGUGGAGUAGGUGACUGGGGUGAAGUCGUAACAAGGUAGCCGUA
rnacentral:rRNA from 2 species